rnacentral:sRNA from 1 species
GAUGCCAGGAUCAAAAGGUCUGAACCCACAUGAGCUUGUUCAUAAGUGGGUGAAAGACCUUGGGACCCGCCCCGAUAUGAGCACAAAAGUGGGAUGCAUAUCCCCACGAUAUGCGAAUAUUGGGGAGGAUUGUGGAAGUGCGCAGCACGGAACAAUCCGUAGGCAUC